CCCGGUUUUGCUUCCAUUCUCCUCCCUUCUGCCUUCAGUGCCCUCCAUCUCCCUGUGUUCUGUCAUUUUCUUAUAUUAAGGGCAUUGUGACAUCCAGUGUCUGCUGUGAACCUUCCAUUUCUCAGUUAUUCUCAUAAUUACUGUGAAGCAGCAGGAGAGUGAAGCAUCAUCGAGCUAGCAGCAGCACAGACAAGCCCACACUUCUGUCCCAGAAUCCAUGGAAGCCAAGGCUAAGUCAGCUCCUGUGCCCAAAGGGCCAUCGAAAGCAGAGAAAAAGGAGCCAGCAGGCCCACGUAAAGCUGAACCUGCUCCUGCAACUCCAGAGCCAGAGAUCCCUCCUCCCCAGGAUGGGUCGGCAGAAGGUGAUGCAGGUGAUGGGGCUGCGGGCAGCUGCAGAGACUCUCUGGAGCACCUGAAACCUUUCCUCAUUGGUGGUGCUGUAAUUGCAGUUGGAGCCAUUUUGCUCGGGGCGAUGCUACUGGCAAGAAGAAAUUAAAAUGAUAAUCUCUAAGAUUUAACUCAAUGUAAAAUUGGUUCACAAAUAAUCAUGGUUGAUAUUGAAGAUGGGGAGUUGCUUUCUUUUUGGCUAGCUAACAUAAAUAUAAAUAUAACAACUCAAAAAACUGUAUAAAGCUUUAUUAAAAAACAUUUGCAUGCAUUAUAAUUUACAAUCUGUUAAAACUACACCAUAAUGCUGAACAUACAAGACAAAAUUCUUCAAUGUUGCGUUUAUAUCUGUUUUAUAUUAUUUACUCAAACAUUGACAGAAACAAACAGUAUUUGCACCAUAUAUGACCUACGUUUCAAAUCCCAAAGAGCUCCUGGAGUGAAAAGUGAUAUAAUUCAAUUAUCAUGCAUUCAAGGGUUUCCUUUUCUUUUAUUUGAAAGUAAAAAGGUCAUGAUUUUGAAUCAUUUGACAAAUGAGUAAGGUUUAAUUCAGAAUGCUGCGGUUCAUGAACGGCAUCUGGGAGAAUAUUUUCGUGACUGUGUACACAGCAGACUAGUGUUGAAAUGUUAUUUCUUGAAGUAGAUUGUAGAAUCAGAAUGAUUUUUACGUUAGUAUCAAAUGAUGUGACAAAUCUAUAGUCUUUCAUGUAUAAAACAACAUCUGCAAAUGUUCCGCAUCAAUAUGUCCACUUCUGAUCGUAAAUACUUCAUUGUAGACUGGCAGACCAGUCAUUAGUGGUCUGGUAUCAAGUUGAAUCAGGCUUCAUUGCACUGUGCUUUGCUCCAUGUGUAUUCCAUCAAGUACAACCCUUGUUUGCAGUACCUUAUUAAUAACUUAAGUAUAGCUAGGCACUUUAGAGUGCUCAUGUAAAGGAAGUGGAUUAGUCAAGCAGUCAUUAUUUCAUGUCUGCACACAUUGCACCCUUACAUGUGUUCCCAGCAUUGUCUAUUCACACAGAAAUGGCCCUGUUUAAAAAGAACUCACCACUUUUCUCUGGUUGCAAGUCAACAUGUUUGCAACAUAUUAGUCAUAAUAAAUGUUGUAUGUGUGUACAUUGAUGCAUUCUGCACCCUUAACACAUCCAAACAAUACAAUGCCAAAACUGGAACUAACUUCACCUGACAUUGUAUAAAUCAGUGUACCAAAAGAAGUAUUCUUUGAAAUAACUCAAUAACAGCAGCGUAUAAAUGCAAUAAUUCAGGUAGCAGUCCUUAGUUAGCACAUUAUGUUGUGCUGUAGCAAGUUAUUUCACAUAAAUGAUGAUGAUGUAAUAGGUCAAGUAUGAUGUUUAAUCAAAUGACAAUGAUGUUAGAGGUGAUAGAAAGUAUGCAUUUAUGGUGGCUGUAAUCAUGGUUAUGGUAUAUUUUUGAUAUAUUAAAAAGCUGGGGUACGACCCUCUCCCCCUAAUGUACACAAAGAAUGUGGUUGUGAUGCAACCUUUAUUAAAGGCAGUGAACCAACUCCAAA